rnacentral:misc_RNA from 1 species
UUUUCCAUAUCUUCGCC